UGAGAAAGGCUUGGAAAGUCAUUGAUUUAAGCAGGAGAAGUCGAGAUCAUGCUUGAACAACCAUAACUCGCCGGAGCAAGGUCAAAGACAGCCAUAGAACUCAAAUCGAACAAUGUCUGGACCCAACUUCAUCAUGGUCAGACCUUGAAAUUUCAGUAACCAAGCGUGUAGGAGUUAUAGGACGCCGAUAUAGGACUUCAACGGCCUUGGAAACCAUGGAUUCCAGUGGUUUUUAGGGUGGAAAUGGAAGGAGGAAGCUAGGGUUUUUGAGAGAGAAUUGGGAGAUAGGGAAUCCAAGGGCAACUACC
rnacentral:lncRNA from 1 species